rnacentral:rRNA from 1 species
CCUACGGGGGGCAGCAGUGAGGAAUAUUGGUCAAUGGGCGCGAGCCUGAACCAGCCAAGUCGCGUGAAGGAUGACUGCCCUACGGGUUGUAAACUUCUUUUAUAAAGGAAUAAGGUGAGGCACGUGUUCCUUUUUGAAUGUACUUUAUGAAUAAGGAUCGGCUAACGCCGUGCCAGCAGCCGCGGUCAUACUGAGGAUCCGCGCGUUAUCCGGAUUUAUUGGGUUUAAAGGGAGCGUAGAUGGGUUGGUAAGUCAGUUGUGAAAGUUUGCGGCUCAACCGUAAAAUUGCAAUUGAUACUGGCAGUCUUGAGUACAGUUGAGGUAGGCGGAAUUCGUGGUGUAGCGGUGAAAUGCGUAGAUAUCACGAAGAACUCCGAUUGCGAAGGCAGCUUACUAAACUGCAACUGACAUUGAUGCUCGAAAGUGUGGGUAUCAAACAGGAUUAGAUACCCGAGUAGUC